GCUGAUUUACACCCCUGGCUGGUGAUUUGGAUGGCACCAGGCUGAGCCACACCCACUGCAGAGAGCCUUUGGGUGCUGGAGACCAGGGAACCCCCCAAGCCCUGGAUGGGAGCUGGGCUUGGCACCCAGCAAGAACAUCCAGGCCGGUCACUGGGGCUCCAGCCUCUGGGAUGAGCCAUUUUCUGAGCAUCUUUUCACAGCAAACCCCUCUCAAAUCCCUCCCGGAGCUGCUGGAGCUCUGCGAAGGCUUUCCCCGCGCCGCUCUAUCUGCAGCGCCUAAUUACAGCUGCUGGGAUCUCCCUUUAUCUCGGCGCAUCUCGGAGCCUCGGUAGACGGGAAGGGAGAAAAUCCGGAGUCUCCGUCGCCCGGGUUUCGCUCAGGUGAAUCCAGGGAAUCCGCAUCCCGGCGCCCACCGGCGGGAGCGUCCCCGGGCAGGUGCCGGGCAGCAGCGCCCUGGAUCCCGCGUGUCCCGGCGUAUUCCCGGCCACCGCGUGGGGCUCGGCGUGUGCCAGCACCUUCCAGCCCCGAGCCCGAGACUUUGAGUUGGCUCCGAGCGUGGCCUUGAUUUAUUUUUCUAAUUUAAUACGAGUUGACUCGA